AUUGAACGCUGGCGGCAGGCCUAACACAUGCAAGUCGAACGAGUGGCGGACGGGUGAGUAAUGUCUGGGAAACUGCCCGAUGGAGGGGGAUCACUACUGGAAACGGUAGCUAAUACCGCAUACCAUCGGAUGUUCCCCGAUGGGAUUAGCUUGUAGGUGAGGUAACGGCUCACCUAGGCGACGAUCCCUAGCUGGUCUGAGAGGAUGACCAGCCACACUGGAACUGAGACACGGGCCAGACUACUACGGGAGGUAGCAGUGGGGAAGAUUGCACAAUGGGCGAAAGCCUGAUGCAGCCAGGCCGCGGGUAUGAAGAAGGCCUUCGGGUUGUAAAGUACUUUCAGCGGGGAGGCGUUACCCGCAGAAGAAGCACCGGCUAACUCCGUGCCAGCAGCCGCGGUAAUAC
rnacentral:rRNA from 1 species